AUGUGGUCACUCCCUGGGGGACUGCUGUCAGGCCUAGCCACCCACCCUUGGCAGCACUGUCCCAUCUCAGGACUGGACUUUCUCAGAUCCUGCAGAGGGCACAGCCUCCAGCCCAGGAGGGGCAGCCCCUUGGUGCAGCCCAAGCUCUCCAUGGGCCUGGAGCAUCCCUGCCAGCCCUGCGCUCCCUCUACUCCCAGGUCCCGCUUUUCAAGUGUCAGCCAGCAGAGAGGCUCCGUCCUCCCUUCCCUUUGUGUCUCCUGGGCUAAAACUUGGGGCGCAUUGGGACAGGGAUGGUGCUUUCCUCAGGCCCAUUUAGGGAGGGGACUGGCUCCCAGCCUGGCACAGGUCCUCAGCUCUGCCUUGGUUGCCUUAGAGUGA
rnacentral:lncRNA from 1 species